CGUCUAGGCGGGGAAUUAAGUUAGGUGUGAAAUCCCUGGGCUCAACCCAGGAACUGCAUCUAAAACUGGUUCUCUUGAGUUCGGGAGAGGAGAGCGGAAUUCCCGGUGUAGCGGUGAAAUGCGUAGAUAUCGGGAAGAACACCAGUGGCGAAGGCGGCUCUCUGGCCUAGAACUGACGCUGAAGCGCGAAAGCGUGGGGGGCGAACG
rnacentral:rRNA from 1 species